rnacentral:rRNA from 1 species
CCUACGCGCGGCAGCAGUGGGGAAUCUUCCGCAAUGGGCGAAAGCCUGACGGAGCACCGCCGCGUGAUCGAAUGAAGGCCUUCGGGUUGUAAAGAUCUGUUGACAGGGACGAAUAAGCCAUGCGAAUAGUUUGGUGUAUGACGGUACCUGUUUAGAAAGCUCCGGAUAACUACGUGCCAGCAGCCGCGGUUAUACGUAGGGAGUAAGCGUUGUCCGGAAUUACUGGGCGUAAAGGGCGCGUAGGUGGGUGCUUAAGUCAGGUGUGAAAACUCUGGGCUCAACCUGGAGACUGCACUUGAAACUGGGUAUCUUGAGGGCAGGAGAGGAAAGUGGAAUUCCUAGUGUAGCGGUGAAAUGCGUAGAUAUUAGGAGGAACACCAGUGGCGAAGGCGACUUUCUGGACUGUACCUGACGCUGAGGCGCGAAAGCGUGGGUAGCGAACGGGAUUAGAUACCCUUGUAGUC